GGGCCAAAAUGCUGAAGUGGCCCUCGGUGAAACUGAGUUUGACACCCCUGGUCUAGAGGAACAGGAACAUUAAAGAGGCAAUAUCAGUGGGCCUUUCUUCCAGCUGAGCUGUCCAGUAAUGGCUUCCAGUGCAGAGCCGCCAUCUUUCCCAGGUUCUAGAAAUCCAGUCCAAACUGCAAAUCCAAUUUAAAUGUAUCUCCCUCCAGAUUGAAGCAGGUGUUCAAUCCAGACCCGGUUCUGAUCUCCAGCAGAGUGUGCGCGCGCUGCAGUCAACAUAUUCAUCACUGAAAGUGACAUUGCGCCGUGCUGACUCCCCCCUGGGGGAAUGUUAACAUUAAACAUCAUGCAGGCUCCUGGAAGCCCGCAGGGGGCGCUGCGGGGCGCGGCGUGUGAAGACUUCCAUAUUAAAGGCAUCAUAAGGAGCAGACUUUUCUCCCCCGCCUCCCUCAUGAAAAAUGCACAGCGGCGGAUUCAUUACUCCGCUGAGCUAAGUGAGUGCGACAAGCGGGGAGCUGGAGCCACCGAGGGCAGCGAGGCAGCGCUGCACCGAGGCCCGGGGCCACUCUCCAGCUUCUUCUACGCUCUGCUUGGAUUUUUCCAAAUGGUUGAAGGUGCCACGCGCGGCAUGAGACCGAGCGCGUGCCGGCCAGUCUUAUGCAUGCGCGCUCAUUGGACAGUAAUCAAUUGUCUGUCUUUUACAGCGUGAUGCGUGUGACCCCUGAUCCGCACCUCGGGGCCUUUAUGCUAUUAAUAAACUCUCGCGUUAUCAUCGUUUGACAAGACAAACGGACGGGGAGCUGGCAGCGCGCGCUUUACGUAAUGAAAUGAAGCGCAGAUGAGGCUCGUUAAAACUUCAGUUAUGAUGACAUGUUUGGUUCUGAUUGGUUCUUAUAGAGUCUCAUUUAAAUCUACUGGUACCGCAUUGGCCUUUGCUUAUUCAGUCAAAUCAUAAUCUUGAAUGUGUUUUAAUUAGAUGUAUGAUAUAAAUCAUUGUGAAAUUGAUAUUUAUUUUUAU